CUAAAUUGGCAUGGUGUUGGAUUGCUGACUAGAAAUACUUCUAUCCCAACCUUAUAACCAACUGGCCAUUUUACCUUGGUUUCUGAUGAAGAAUUGAAAAGAAGAGUAGCUGAGGAGCUGGCAUUGGAGCAAGCCAAGAAAGAAUCUGAAGAUCAGAAACGACUAAAGCAAGCCAAAGAGCUGGACCGAGAGAGGGCUGCUGCCAAUGAGCAGUUAACCAGAGCCAUCCUUCGGGAGAGGAUAUCUAGCGAGGAGGAACGUGCUAAGGCAAAGCACCUGGCUAGGCAGCUGGAAGAGAAAGACCGAGUGCUAAAGAAGCAGGAUGCAUUCUACAAAGAACAGCUGGCUAGACUGGAGGAGAGGAGCUCAGAGUUCUACAGAGUCACCACUGAACAAUAUCAGAAAGCUGCUGAAGAGGUGGAAGCAAAGUUCAAGCGGUAUGAGUCUCAUCCAGUCUGUGCUGAUCUGCAGGCCAGAAUUCUUCAGUGUUACCGUGAGAACACCCACCAGACCCUCAAAUGCUCCGCUCUGGCCACCCAGUAUAUGCACUGUGUCAAUCAUGCCAAACAGAGCAUGCUUGAGAAGGGAGGAUAAAAACUUUCAGAAUGAGCAAAACACCAUCAACGUUAAUUCCAGAGAUGGAACAUUUUUUUUCCUAGUGAGAAAACAACCCAUUUGAAGAGAAGACCACUAAUGAGAAGGCCACUAAAGAGAGACACCA
rnacentral:sRNA from 1 species